rnacentral:rRNA from 1 species
AUUGAACGCUGGCGGCAGGCCUAACACAUGCAAGUCGAGCGGAUGAAGGGAGCUUGCUCCUGGAUUCAGCGGCGGACGGGUGAGUAAUGCCUAGGAAUCUGCCUGGUAGUGGGGGAUAACGUCCGGAAACGGGCGCUAAUACCGCAUACGUCCUGAGGGAGAAAGUGGGGGAUCUUCGGACCUCACGCUAUCAGAUGAGCCUAGGUCGGAUUAGCUAGUUGGUGGGGUAAAGGCCUACCAAGGCGACGAUCCGUAACUGGUCUGAGAGGAUGAUCAGUCACACUGGAACUGAGACACGGUCCAGACUCCUACGGGAGGCAGCAGUGGGGAAUAUUGGACAAUGGGCGAAAGCCUGAUCCAGCCAUGCCGCGUGUGUGAAGAAGGUCUUCGGAUUGUAAAGCACUUUUAGUUGGGAGGAAGGGCAGUAAGUUAAUACCUGGCUGUUUUGACGUUACCAACAGAAUAAGCACCGGCUAACUUCGUG